rnacentral:lncRNA from 1 species
GCAACCCUACAGACCAAUGGAAAUUGAGGACUCAGACUUUGCCUCCCUCUAGCCUCUCCCUUCCACUUUCAGUUAGAUUUCAGAUGGUGUCCAACUGAGAUUCAGAAAUGAUUGCCUGUAGUAAUGUUCCUCUCAUUAUGUGCUGGAUCUGUAGUUUUGAGCUAUUCUGUCCUGAAGGGGCUUCUUCUCUGUUCUGCUGAUUGAUCAGGAGCUUAUGCCCUAAUUGGGAAUACUUCAUAGUCAUCCUGGAGCAGAUAACUCUGAAGCUGAGAUUUAAAAGAAAACCAGGGAGUCUAAAAGUUGAACACUGGAAAGAAGAUUCCAGGAUAGGGAAUCUCCAGUGGAAAGGAAUGAUGACAGAUGAUGGAUUAUUUUGUGUGAGCAAUAGUAAUUAAACCAAAAUUACUAAACUAAAGUUGAGUACAGGAAAGUAGAAUUCGAUUCAAUUCAAUAAAUAUUUGUUUAAAACCCA